rnacentral:lncRNA from 1 species
UCUCCUUUUAAAGAUUGUUUAGAAAAGAAAGCUGUUGUUGUGACGAAAAAUAUUCAAAAGCAAGAAAAAUCUCCGAUUUAAAACUUUAAUUAUCCUUUGACUUUUAAUAUAGGUUAUUGAUUAGAGAGACUACUUUAAAGUCGUUUGAGUGACACGCGUGUUUCAAGCAUAGUUUUACGUCUCAACUUUUUCAUUUACGAUGGUCAAGAAAAGAAAACUGUCGUUAUGAAGAAAUCUAUCCAAAAG